rnacentral:rRNA from 1 species
CAGUCGACGCGCGGAUCAGGAGCUUGCUCCUGUGACGCGAGUGGCGGACGGGUGAGUAACACGUAGGCAACCUGCCCAUCAGACUGGGAUAACCACGGGAAACCGUGGCUAAUACCGGAUAAUCCUUUUCCACACAGGUGGAAAAGUUGAAAGGCGGCCUUUUGGCUGCCACUGAUGGAUGGGCCUGCGGCGCAUUAUCUGGGUGGUGGGGUAACGGCCCACCAAGGCGACGAUGCGUAGCCGACCUGAGAGGGUGAUCGGCCACUCUGGGACUGACACAC